rnacentral:tRNA from 2 species
GCUGAUGUAGCACAAUGGUAGUGCAACUGCCUUGUAAGUAGUCUGUUGUAAGUUCGAGUCUUAUCAUCAGUU